GAAGGGAGAGAGGGAGGGAGGAACACGAAAGAGAAACUAACAUGAUGGGGGGUGCUCUUUAAAAAUAUGCUAUGGGACAUGUACUGUUAUCUACAUCUUAAAGAUGGGACCACUCCGAGGUUUGCUGAUGUGUUCAUUUUCACAGAGUGGUUGUGUGACCUGAGCAGAGGCUGGAAUCCAGGUGUGUACGACGCCAAAGCCUUUGUUUUUCCACCUAGCACAAGUCACCACCUCCUAGAAAGAUGCCCUGAGAAAUCCCUCCCAGAAUUUAUCAUUUCUUCCUGGGAAGGAUGUCUAUCUUAUCACCUCCAGCCUUAGUUGAGCGUGGACCUUUCUGUCUCCCACCCACAAUUGUGAGCCAGCGUCCAUUCAUUUUUUACUUCUUCCAGGGCUCAGCACCAGCUAAAUUAACUUCUGCUCUAUCGGGACAAGGACACCAUUGGAAACUCGAUUGCGGGUCUGCUCUUUGAACAUGCCCUUUGAUUUCCCAAGCCUGCAGGUUGCGGCUGGCACUUCUUUCCGAAGAGGAAACCGGUUAGAGGAGUGUAGCGAUGAGUUCUGCCCAAGUGAAGCCUGGCCGCCCCGCGUUACACAGAAACUCAGAUUCUGCGAGGGUUCGGAGCAGCCGCUGAAGACCUGCCCCGCCCAAGCCGAGCGGAAGCAGGCCGGUUUUGGUGAAAGUUACUGAAUAAGCACAAAGUGUGAUGAACGGAAAAUCCCAUCAUGCUUAAAAAGGUAGUAUGGAGCCUGAAGGAAGUUACGAGCGUGUCAGAAAAGCCGCCUCCUGGAGUCUGCGGACUGGCUGUCCACGCUCUACUAAAGGAAGAAAGGCGGAGGACUCGGAUCUCGUGUACGGUUCUCCAGAGUGGUGGUACUGCUUGCCCCCAGUACUUGCUGUGCUAAGGUAUCUUCCUGUCUCUGCUUCCGCCACGGUUAGAACUUCAGCUGAACUUGUGGCCCUUUGGGGAAAUGUUUCUGCCAGACAUCAGUCCUUGUUCUCUGACAUGAAACAGAUGCUUUCGGCAGCCUAGGGAAUAAUUGCCACACUUAAUACCUGCAGUGUUAUAGUGUGUUUUAGACUUGGCCUUUUAUCUAAAAACUGCACGU